GGCAACACAGAAAGGAGAAUUCUACUGCCUGAGGGUUAUAAUCCCUAAGUGCUGCCGAAGCCCGCCUACGCAGAAAGGUGUUCUCUGCAAAAGGUGUUCAGCCCCCCUUCUUUGGCAACACAGUAAGGAGAAUCUACUGCCUGAGGGUUAUAAUCCCGAAGGCCGCCUACGCAAAAAGGAGUUGGACGCCUGGUUCCGCUAAAGUGCACUUUUACCCAAAAUAGUUCUCUUUUUAACAGAGUUCUAAAGAAGGUUACCGCAUAACUUUGGACCACGUCAACCGAUUUCGAUAACUCUGCAAUUUGCAUCGGAAAGGUAGUGUCUCAAAGCUGGUCCCAUAAUAAUCUGGCUUAGAUCCGAUCAUUGGAUCAUGAAAUAUGUAUAAAUAUAUUUAUAUGUAUUUUUAUAUGAGAAUUGAAGCUGGUAUAUUUCUGGACGAUUGGAAGAGGAUUGAGCUAAGAGCUUGUUUGAGCAAAUCCAAUUUUUGGCAAAAAAUGUCAGUUACGCGGUUUUGCAGAACGACGAUACGCGGUUUUGUUCUUUAAA